rnacentral:rRNA from 1 species
GAUGAACGCUGGCGGCGUGCCUAAUACAUGCAAGUCGAGCGAACAGAUAAGGAGCUUGCUCCUUUGACGUUAGCGGCGGACGGGUGAGUAACACGUGGGUAACCUACCUAUAAGACUGGGAUAACUUCGGGAAACCGGAGCUAAUACCGGAUAACAUUUGGAACCGCAUGGUUCUAAAGUGAAAGAUGGUUUUGCUAUCACUUAUGGAUGGACCCGCGCCGUAUUAGCUAGUUGGUAAGGUAACGGCUUACCAAGGCAACGAUACGUAGCCGACCUGAGAGGGUGAUCGGCCACACUGGAACUGAGACACGGUCCAGACUCCUACGGGAGGCAGCAGUAGGGAAUCUUCCGCAAUGGGCGAAAGCCUGACGGAGCAACGCCGCGUGAGUGAUGAAGGGUUUCGGCUCGUAAAACUCUGUUAUUAGGGAAGAACAAACGUGUAAGUAACUGUGCACGUCUUGACGGUACCUAAUCAGAAAGCCACGGCUAACUACGUG